rnacentral:rRNA from 1 species
UGACAGAUUGAGAGCUCUUUCUUGAUUCAGUGGGUGGUGGUGCAUGGCCGUUCUUAGUUGGUGGAGCGAUUUGUCUGGUUAAUUCCGAUAACGAACGAGACUCUAGCCUACUAAAUAGAUCGUCGGCUUACAAACGCCGAUGAGACUUCUUAGAGGGACAGGCGGCGAUUCAGCCGCACGAAACAGAGCAAUAACAGGUCUGUGAUGCCCUUAGAUGUCCGGGGCCGCACGCGCGCUACACUGAAGUGAUCAGCGUGCAUUUUCAGCCUACUCUGCCAAGAGUGGGAAACCCAAUGAACCUUCUUCGUGAUUGGGAUAGGGGAUUGUAAUUAUUCCCCUUGAACGAGGAAUUCCCAGUAAGCGCGAGUCAUAAGCUCGCGUUGAUUACGUCCCUGCCCUUUGUACACACCGCCCGUCGCUACUACCGAUUGAAUGUUUUAGUGAGGUCUUCAGACUGGCCGGCGCAGCUGCUCUCGUAGUGGCAGCGCUGUGUUUGGGAAGAUGCCCAAACUUGAACAUUUAGAGGAAGUAAAAGUCGUAACAAGGUUUCCGUAGGUGAACCU